rnacentral:rRNA from 1 species
CCUACGGGGAGCAGCAGUGGGGAAUAUUGGACAAUGGGCGAAAGCCUGAUCCAGCCAUGCCGCGUGUGUGAAGAAGGCCUUCGGGUUGUAAAGCACUUUCAGUGGGGAAGAAAGCCUUGGGGCUAAUACCCUCGAGGAAGGACAUCACCCACAGAAGAAGCACCGGCUAACUCCGUGCCAGCAGCCGCGGUAAUACGGAGGGUGCGAGCGUUAAUCGGAAUUACUGGGCGUAAAGCGCGCGUAGGCGGGUUGAUAAGCCGGUUGUGAAAGCCCCGGGCUCAACCUGGGAACGGCAUCCGGAACUGUCAGGCUAGAGUGCAGGAGAGGAAGGUAGAAUUCCCGGUGUAGCGGUGAAAUGCGUAGAGAGCGGGAGGAAUACCAGUGGCGAAGGCGGCCUUCUGGACUGACACUGACGCUGAGGUGCGAAAGCGUGGGUAGCAAACAGGAUUAGAUACCCUUGUAGUC